rnacentral:SRP_RNA from 1 species
UCGCGCUAGACGGGGAGUUAGCGGUGCCCCUUAACCCGAAAUCCGCUUAUGCGGGGUUGAAAAUCCUUCUGGAAAUUCCUGGUUCGAACUGCAUUUUCAACACCUUGGGGUUGAUAUGGACCUCACGUAACAGGCGCUUAUAAACCCCGUCAGGUCCGGAAGGAAGCAGCGGUAAGUAAGAAAGUCUGUGUCGUCGAGUGAAUCUAUAUGGUUUCUCCGGGUGGCGAAGGCAUAUCGUUCAGGUUUCGAAAAAAGGUUGCGCGG